CCUCAGAUAGCUCAGUUGGUAGAGCGAGGGACUGCAGAGUAAUACGCACGAUAUCCCUAGGUCGACGGAUCAAAACCGUCUCGGAGGA
rnacentral:tRNA from 1 species